rnacentral:rRNA from 1 species
AGUGAACGCUGGCGGUAGGCCUAACACAUGCAAGUCGAACGGCAGCACAGGAGAGCUUGCUCUCUGGGUGGCGAGUGGCGGACGGGUGAGGAAUACAUCGGAAUCUACUUUUUCGUGGGGGAUAACGGAGGGAAACUUACGCUAAUACCGCAUACGACCUACGGGUGAAAGCAGGGGAUCUUCGGACCUUGCGCGAUUGAAUGAGCCGAUGUCGGAUUAGCUAGUUGGCGGGGUAAAGGCCCACCAAGGCGACGAUCCGUAGCUGGUCUGAGAGGAUGAUCAGCCACACUGGAACUGAGACAAGGUCCAGACUCCUACGGGAGGCAGCAGUGGGGAAUAUUGGACAAUGGGCGCAAGCCUGAUCCAGCCAUACCGCGUGGGUGAAGAAGGCCUUCGGGUUGUAAAGCCCUUUUGUUGGGAAAGAAAUCCAGCUGGUUAAUACCCGGUUGGGAUGACGGUACCCAAAGAAUAAGCACCGGCUAACUUCGUGCCAGCCGCCGCGGUAA